rnacentral:rRNA from 1 species
AACGAACGCUGGCGGCACGCCUAACACAUGCAAGUCGAACGAGACCUUCGGGUCUAGUGGCGCACGGGUGCGUAACGCGUGGGAAUCUGCCCUCUGAUUCGGAACAACAGAUGGAAACGACUGCUAAUACCGGAUAAUGACAUCGUUCCAAAGAUUUAUCGCCUGAGGAGGAGGCCGCGUCGGAUUAGCUUGUUGGUGAGGUAAAAGCUCACCAAGGCGACGAUCCGUAGCUGGUCUGAGAGGAUGAUCAGCCACACUGGGACUGAGACACGGCCCAGACUCCUACGGGAGGCAGCAGUGGGGAAUAUUGGACAAUGGGCGAAAGCCUGAUCCAGCAAUGCCGCGUGAGUGAUGAAGGCCUUAGGGUUGUAAAGCUCUUUUACCCGGGAUGAUAAUGACAGUACCGGGAGAAUAAGCCCCGGCUAACUCCGUGCCAGCCGCCGCCGUAAGAC